UACGGAGGGUGCAAGCGUUAUCCGGAUUCACUGGGCUUAAAGGGUGCGUAGGCGGCGCGGUAAGUCGGGUGUGAAAUCUCGGAGCUUAACUCCGAAACUGCAUUCGAUACUGCCGUGCUUGAGGACUGGAGAGGAGACUGGAAUUUACGGUGUAGCGGUGAAAUGCGUAGAUAUCGUAAGGAAGACCAGUGGCGAAGGCGGGUCUCUGGACAGUUCCUGACGCUGAGGCACGAAGGUCAGGGGAGCAAACGGG
rnacentral:rRNA from 1 species